GACGAACGCUGGCGGCGUGCCUAAUACAUGCAAGUCGUGCGGACGGAUGGGAGCUUGCUCCCAGACCGUCAGCGGCGGACGGGUGAGUAACACGUGGGCAACCUGCCUGUAAGACUGGGAUAACUCCGGGAAACCGGGGCUAAUACCGGAUAACUCUUUCCCUCACAUGAGGGAAAGCUGAAAGAUGGCAUCUCGCUAUCACUUACAGAUGGGCCCGCGGCGCAUUAGCUAGUUGGUGAGGUAACGGCUCACCAAGGCGACGAUGCGUAGCCGACCUGAGAGGGUGAUCGGCCACACUGGGACUGAGACACGGCCCAGACUCCUACGGGAGGCAGCAGUAGGGAAUCUUCCGCAAUGGACGAAAGUCUGACGGAGCAACGCCGCGUGAGUGAUGAAGGUUUUCGGAUCGUAAAACUCUGUUGUCAGGGAAGAACAAGUACCGGAGUAACUGCCGGUACCUUGACGGUACCUGACCAGAAAGCCACGGCUAACUACGUG
rnacentral:rRNA from 1 species